GUAGUCUCGCACAGAUGCAUAUCAAUAAGCGGAGGAAAAGGUACCUACGCUUAGGAUGUUGACGCGCGUGUGUGCGUGAGUCUAUACAUGACUCUGUGCAUAUCAAUAAGCGGAGGAAAAGAAACUAACAAGGAUUCCCCUAGUAACGGCGAGUGAAGCGGGAAGAGCUCAAAUUUGAAAUCUUAAAGGGUUUCCCUUUACGAAUUGUAGUUUAAAGAAGUGUUUUCUGUUGAGGUUUUGGUAAAAGUUCUUUGGAAUAGGACAUCAUAGAGGGUGAGAAUCCCGUAUUUGACCUUUACUUUCAACUUUGUGAUACACUUUCAAAGAGUCGGAUUGUUUGGGAAUGCAGUCCAAAAUGGGUGGUAAAUUUCAUCUAAAGCUAAAUAUUGGCGAGAGACCGAUAGCGAACAAGUACCGUGAGGGAAAGAUGAAAAGAACUUUGAAAAGAGAGUUAAACAGUACGUGAAAUUGUCAAAAGGGAAGCGUUUGACACCAGUGUUGUUUUUCUGAAAAUCAAUUAAAGAACUGUUUAUGCUAAGCUGUUUAGACUUUAUCAGCUAACUGUUUAGUUUUGAGCUUUUCUUUAAUGCACUUUUCAGUUAACAAGUCAACAUCAAUUUCUUUUGCUGUAAAAAAGCUUGAGGAAGGUGGCUUGAGAUUCGUCUUAAGUGUUUAUAGCCUCUUGCCUAUGCAGUCGGAGAGAUUGAGAUCUGCAGCGUAGAUCCUUCGGGGCUAAAUGCAUUUGUGCUAAGUUAUAGCAUUUUAUAGACAACUUGUUGACUAUGAUUUGUCUUGUAGCUUACUCGCUUAUGUUAUUAUACCUACGCUUAGGAUGUUGACGCGCGUGUGUGCGUG
rnacentral:rRNA from 1 species